CGUAACGGGAGGGACGUUCUGGAAGGUUCUGCGGCCGCCCUCAGUCGCGGGCGGGCGGAGGCGGCUCCGGGCUGCGCUUCUGUCGCUCUUCUACCGUCCUUGUGUCGCCGAUUCGCGGCUGUCGCGGCGGGCCCGGCGCUAUGGGGGUGACUCACGAAGCGGGGCUCUCCCCUCAGGACCCGUGCGGGGGCAGCCCGGCGGGCUGGAGCCGGAGCGCGCAGGUGCCUCAGGGGAACCAGCGCGGGGCGUGCCCGGCGGCGCCCAGCGGAACAGAGACGGGGCACUGCAGAGCAGCGGCGCGGCCCGAGGCGGCGGCUGACGGCGCGCAGAAAGGCGGCGCGGGGCAGACGGCCGACAUGGCGGAGUUCAUGGACGACCUGACGCUGCGCUCUCCCGAGCGCCGGAGCCCUGCGGCGCGCUCCCGCUCCUCCGGCCGCUCCAGCUCCCGCUCCUCGUGCAGCUCCCGCUCCAGCUCCAGCAGCUCCUCGGGCCGCUCCGAGCGCAGCUGGAGCCGCUCCCGCUCCCGGUCGCGCUCUCGGCGGCGCGGCUCCCGACGCUCCCGGCGCCGCUCCCGCUCCUACUCGCGCAGCCGCUCCCGCUCCCGGCGCUACCGCGGCCGCUACCGGCCCCGGCGCUACCGGCGGCGCUACGGCCGGCCCCGCUCGCGCUCCCGCUCCCGCGGCAGGGCCUGCUACCGCCGCUCGUACUCGCGCAGCCGCUCCCGCUCCCGCGGCCGCCGCUACUACGGCUUCGGCAGGAGCGUCUACCCCGAGGCCUACCGCGGCUGGAGGAGCCGCUCGCGCUCCCGCUCGCGGAGCCGCUCCCCGCUGCACCUCAGCGAGAAAGACAAGAGGGAACUCCUGGAAAUUGCGAAAGCCAAUGCUGCCAAAGCUCUGGGAACAGACAACAUUGUCCUGCCAGCGAGCCUGAGGAUCUCUGCUCCUGCCAAGGAGAUCAAAACUGAGAGGCAGGAGCAUGAGGAAGCCACGGAGUCAGCUGAGAUGUUGAGAGAGUGCAGAAGAAGAGGCCUGCCUCCCUUGCAGAUAAGUUUGUUGUUGUUCUCCGGAGGAUGGGUGUGCAGAGCUGUGUCCCUGCUCUGGCGCAGCUCCUGCUGCCACCCCGAGUCCCUCGGGGCUCUGACGGGGCCUGGAGCUGCCUCCGCUCCCCCGGGGAUGGGCACGGCUGCCUGGGCAGAGCUGCCUGCCCCCAGUGGGCUCAGCACUGCUGUGCUGUGGCUUUAGAGCUGCCUGAGGUGAAACUGUGACCCGCUCCACAGAAAGCUGUGCUGUGCAAUGCCUGCCCUGGCUCGGGGAUCCCCUCUGAGCUCUGUCUGCUCUUCUCUAGCAACCCGGGAGUGCCGCUGAGGACGUGAGCAAGGCUGGCGUGGAGAGAGCGACCAUCCAGAGGAGCAUUUCCUUCAGCCCCAAUAACACAAUGGCCAAGCCCGCCCUGCAGAAGCCAGUGAGCCAUGCUGUGGUGAAGGAGCCGGUGGUGUCCCCGGCCAGGGAGGAUGACAGGAAGGGAAGCCCCUACGGGCAGUGGGUUCCUGUCAAGAAGGAGGAGAAGAAAACAUUCCUGAACUUCUCACCCAGAAGCUCCUUGUUCCGGGCGCGCUGAUCCCGCAGCGCUGCGCCCCUCGGAGAGAGGGACACUUUGGGAUUGAAGACUUGUUAAUACUGAGUAUUUAUUUUGAGGUCUUAAUUUUUGGAAUCUUAGGUUUCUCUUUCAGAUAGAGAGCACACAGAUCCAGAAGCCACAGAUGGGAAUCUUGUGUAUAUCUGUAAAUAUUUUAUAUUGCUUUAUUGGACUAGAACUUGCAGGUGGGUAACUUUUUCUAAACCAUAGUUGAGUAGCUGUUCUUUGCACACCUGGAUUUCCCUCGUGUAACUGUUUACUUAAGUGAAUAAAGUUUAGUUUUGCACUGGCUGGGUGUGUCGGGUGUCAGGCCUGAGUCCCUGUGGGUAUUCUGGGUUCGCCCUGCGCUCCCCAGCUCCUCUCUGCAGCACGGCAGAGCUGCUGCCUCAUUCCAGAGCUGAUCCUUGCUUUCCGUCCCUGGGUCCCCUCUGGAAGUGGGGCCGUGUGGCCGUUCAGUCACCCUGUCCCCAGGUAGCAGAGUUGGAGAUCAGCCUGCUGUGAAGGGAGGGAAAGGGCAGGAGGGUUCAGGAGAAAGGAGCUCUUGCAGGGACUGGGAGUUACUGGUCGCACUCGGCUUUUGUAUAAAUAAAUUAUUAAUAAAAUAAACUGAACUGGACUGCU